UACGUAGGGUGCGAGCGUUUGUCCGGAAUUAUUGGGCGUAAAGAGCUCGUAGGCGGUCUGUCGCGUCUGCUGUGAAAUCCCGAGGCUCAACCUCGGGCCUGCAGUGGGUACGGGCAGACUAGAGUGCGGUAGGGGAGAUUGGAAUUCCUGGUGUAGCGGUGGAAUGCGCAGAUAUCAGGAGGAACACCGAUGGCGAAGGCAGAUCUCUGGGCCGUAACUGACGCUGAGGAGCGAAAGCGUGGGGAGCGAACAGG
rnacentral:rRNA from 1 species